rnacentral:rRNA from 1 species
AGUGAACGCUGGCGGUAGGCCUAACACAUGCAAGUCGAACGGCAGCACAGUAAGAGCUUGCUCUUACGGGUGGCGAGUGGCGGACGGGUGAGGAAUACAUCGGAAUCUACUUUUUCGUGGGGGAUAACGUAGGGAAACUUACGCUAAUACCGCAUACGACCUACGGGUGAAAGCAGGAGAUCUUCGGACCUUGCGCGAUUGAAUGAGCCGAUGUCGGAUUAGCUAGUUGGCGGGGUAAAGGCCCACCAAGGCGACGAUCCGUAGCUGGUCUGAGAGGAUGAUCAGCCACACUGGAACUGAGACACGGUCCAGACUCCUACGGGAGGCAGCAGUGGGGAAUAUUGGACAAUGGGCGAAAGCCUGAUCCAGCCAUACCGCGUGGGUGAAGAAGGCCUUCGGGUUGUAAAGCCCUUUUGUUGGGAAAGAAAAGCAGCAGGUUAAUACCCCGCUGUUCUGACGGUACCCAAAGAAUAAGCACCGGCUAACUUCGUG